CAAGCCGGAAGGAGCGCCGCCGCUCGCCUCGGCACCGCGCGUGGAUCGUGGCUACGAAGCAUGAAGGAAAUUCUUUGAUUCUAUCCCGGCCGGAAGGAAACAAAAGUAUCAUCCGUCCCAAACGAAACGAAGGGCUUGGAUGCAAAAUUUGUCAACCUGGUCCUUAACCCUUAGCCGUCGGAUCAGAGGUGUGCGGCAGAGAUUGAUCGUAACCACCCCCUCUUCCCUCUUCGCUGUGCGCAGAGCCCGGACCGGCCGCGCCCGCCGCCCGCCGUUGCUCUCCCUGACCUCACCGAGCGUCCGGCGCGGCCGCCCUUCCCCCUCGUGUGGGUCCUUGAGCUGCUCACCGCUCGUCGACCAGUCGUCCCUCGUCUGGUCUCGGCCGAGGAAGGUCAGGCGGCAGCGAGGGGAAAGAGGGAGCGAGAUGCCGCACCGGGCGCGGCCGAUGACGGGGCUGCUGGUGUUCAUGGGCGUCAACCUCGUGCUCGUCAGCACCAUCUCCCCCGUCUACGACUUCGUCUGCUUCCACCCCUACUGGGAACGAAGGAGAGAACGCCGCCGGAGGGAACGUGAAGCUGUGCAACUGAGGGGUUCUCUAAAAACUACUAAUUGAGUUUGCCUAGUAUAUCAAACAUUCUCCUCAUCAGUGGCUGUCUCAAGUACCAAACUGCUUCUUGUACAAUCUAGGGAAUUGUUCAUUUCAACAGCCGUUUCGUUUACAAAAGGAAAGAUUCGCCUAUUUUAUCUUGUUCUUGUGAUGAUAUGGGAUCUGUUUUUUUUUCCAUGAUGCUCCCUCAAAUGUAUCAUCUGUUCUUUUUUUUUUUGCAAGGAUGAAUGAGAAGAAUAGAUGGCAUGAGUAGUCUUUCUGAAAUACGCACUUUCUGAAUCUACCGUCGUAUUCUUCUGCAUCUAGCUGCACUCUUUCAAAAUUUAUGUUUGGUUUAGGACUUCUGGAGCUGAAAGUAUGCAUUCUCGCUCAAUAGCACAAUGCACACAGCCAUGGAUGAACUGAAUCGAAAAAGACUACGUCUCGCCUCUUCUUGUUGUUCAGUGGAUCAGCACCAGCUGUCCCUCUCCUCAUCAUCGCCACAAACUCUGAAUAAUCUAUCCUUCCAUCCUACAUGUGCAGAAGUAAAUUUUAGUCUCUUGAUUUAAGGGAAUAAAAACAUAUUCAAUCAAUACGAGGAACCAUUAAAUUUUCAUAGUAUUUGUUCCUUACAUUGUCAGAGUCGGCAUCUGAAAUGACCUCUUUGAUUUUAUCGGCAUCAUACAACCCUUGCUCCUUCAAGGCGUGCUCAAGCUCCUCUCUUGUAAUGUACCUGUGAGAUAAAAGAAGUAAAUGUGUUAUAAGAUAUCUGUACUCAAGAAUUCAGGAUCUCA